rnacentral:rRNA from 1 species
AGCAGUCGCCGCGGUAAUACGUAGGGUGCAAGCGUUAAUCGGAAUUACUGGGCGUAAAGCGUGCGCAGGCGGUUAUAUAAGACAGAUGUGAAAUCCCCGGGCUCAACCUGGGAACUGCAUUUGUGACUGUAUAGCUAGAGUACGGCAGAGGGGGAUGGAAUUCCGCGUGUAGCAGUGAAAUGCGUAGAUAUGCUGAGGAACACCGAUGGCGAAGGCAAUCCCCUGGGCCUGUACUGACGCUCAUGCACGAAAGCGUGGGGAGCAAACAGGAUUAGAUACCCCCGUAGUCCCUGUCUCUUAUAC